GGGAGCAAGGGGGAUGUGAUGGGGAGGGUUACAAAGCAGAUUUCAACUUUCUCAGUAGUGUUCUUUUUAAUCUAAAAGAAAAGAAAUUGGAAGCAAAAUGACAAAAUUAUCAGCAUUUGAUAAUUCUGAGUCAUGGAUAGACAUUUGUAAUAUUCUCUGGACCUUUCUGUAUGUUUAAUUUCCUUUAAAAAAUACGGAAAUAAAGCCCAAUGUGUGGCCAUAUGUCAGGAAGUCACUAGUCCAGCUGUGCCUCUCGUUAGCGUGUGGCUUUGAACCAAUCAAAGCUUUCGAGAUCUCAGUUUCCUCCUCUGCAAAAUCUAGUGAAGAGCACUAUUUAUUGCAAGGAGGGUGUUUGGGGAAUUAAAUGAUCUUUGGGGGAAAUUGUAUAAAAGCUAAACUUCUAUUCAAAUGUUAGUUAAAAUUGGGUUGUUGGGUUGAUAAUCCCUGAGACUUGUCUUGUUUUAGUGGGACGGGCUUGUGGAGCGUUCUGAGGAAGGAGCGGGGUGAUGGGUAUGAAGGCCUUGCUCAGGACUGGCACUCAGCUUGUGGCAGAGAUACGGGACCUGCUCAGUCCUGAGUCUCCUCGUCCUCACAAGCGGAGCUCUGCUUUUAUUCCAGGUGGUGAUGUGCCUAGAAAAAGAGAGACAUUUCCUCGUCUCCUGGAAGUAGGAGCAGUUGGUUGGUUUUCUAGAAAUCUUCACAAAGGCUGCCUCAGCUGGGAGAGGUGCCUUUUUGCCCUUCCUCUACCUCUUUUUUCUCUCUCGGAAAGCAAAGACGAUGGCUGGCAUUCCUACAGCCAUCUUGGACCAUGAGGUGACCUUGAAGAUAAGAUAUAAGCUUUGCGCUAAACACGUUGGAGAAGAAAGAUGAAAAGCAUCUGGUCCCUGAUGCCUGUGGAGCUGCCUUUACUGCCUCGGGCUGCCCACUUCAGGCUUCUUUUAUGGGAGGGAAAAUAAACUUGUAAGUUACUCAGUCGCUUAUUUGGGCUACUGUUACAUGCAGCUGAACCGAACCCUAACUGAUACAUUUUUGUUAUUCUGAAGAUGCUUUGAAUAGGUAAACUAGAAAAGAGAACCCCGGUCGCCGCCGCCUGCCCCGCCGCCUGCCCCUCUGCCUGCUCUGGGAGGAGAGACUCAGCUGUUCUGCCUCUUCCUCAGCCGCCUCCUCGUUGCUGCGUUUUCCUGCAUUUAAUGAUUGUAAAAGAUAAAGAAACAGAAUUUGAAUGACCUCAUUUCUGUCAUGGGUGCCUCUCUCUGCUGUAGUUCCAACACUGUGGAGGGGCCCCCAGAAUCCAGCUCAUGCUGUUUCACACACCGUUUACUUUACCACGUGGACAGUGCUGCUCUGAUCGCGGGAGCUGCCGUCGUGACCUGCCUCAGCCGUCUGUGUGUCUGGGAUGAACAGCUACCGGGGCAAAUGAAACGCAAACUCCCUGGCU
rnacentral:lncRNA from 1 species